UUUUUCCAAUUGCAGCACUACUAAUAUUUUAUGGCAUGCAACAUUACCUGUCAAUAGCUGGUUCACUUGUCUUUGUUCCUUUGAUACUCGUACCUGCAAUGGGUGGUUCUGAUGUAUGAAGCUUUCCUUCUUUUCUUAAUUGCACUUAUUUACACUGAAAACCACCUUCAAAUGAUGAAUUCAUUUAAUGUGGCAGGAGGAUACCACAACAGUCAUCUCCACCAUGUUAUUAGUCUCUGGUCUUACUACAAUACUACAUACUUUUUUGGGUUCUCGACUUCCACUGAUUCAAGGAAGCUCCUUUGUAUAUUUGGCUCCAGCGUUGGUAAUUGCGAACUCCGAGGAGUUCAGAAAUCUUAGUGACAAUAAAUUCAAGCACAUAAUGAGGGAACUACAAGGGGCUAUACUUGUUGGUUCAGUAUUCCAGAUAAUAUUAGGAUACACUGGUCUUAUUUCACUGUUUCUGAGGUAUGUCCAGAAACACAAAUGCAGAACUCUACAAUCUAGAAUACACCUCACAGAAACUGAAUAUGUUCAAUCCCUGACUUCACAGGUUAAUAAAUCCAGUGGUGGUGGCACCAACUAUUGCUGCAGUGGGUUUGGCAUUUUUAGUUAUGGUUUCCCUCAGGCUUGCAGCUGUGUAGAAAUCAGCAUGCCCCUCAUUCUGUUGGUUCUUCUGUGCACUCUGUACAUGAGAAAAAUAUCCUUGUUUGGCAACCAUAUCUUCCUUGUCUAUGCGGUACUUCUCUAAUCCUCUCCCUUUACACCCUUAGUGCGGGUAGCUGAUUGUGUGCUGACUACACUGGGAGCUUGCUGACUACACUGGGAUGUGGUACUUCUCUAAUCCUCUCCCUUUACACGUGGAGUUGUCAGCAGAGCGAUUGGGCUUGAAGGGGUUUCAACGUUUAUUGCUGGAGUGUGGGGUACAGGUACAGGAUCGACAACGUUAACAGAGAACAUACACACCCUCGAAACAACCAAAAUGGGCAGCAGGAGGGCUUUGCAGCUUGGGGCAGCCGUGUUAGUCAUCUUCUCCUUCUUUGGUAAAAUCGGAGCUCUCCUAGCAUCUAUACCUCUUGCCUUGGCCGCCUCUGUUCUGUGCUUCACCUGGGCGCUAAUUGUCGCGCUUGGUAUGUCCAUAUUGCGAUACACCCAAGCAGCAAGCUCCAGGAACAUGAUAAUAGUUGGAUUUACCCUGUUCAUCUCCUUGUCGAUACCCGCAUACUUUCAGCAGUAUGAACCCAGCUCCAACCUAAUCUUGCCCAGCUAUCUUCUUUCAUAUGCUGCAGCGUCAAGUGGACCAGUUCGCACAGCCAGCAGCGGGCUGAACUAUGCAGUGAACGCGCUCCUAUCCAUCGACGUUGUGGUGGCUCUCCUUGUCGCGUUGAUCCUUGACAACACAGUGCCAGGCAGUAGACAUUUGGACAGAUCCCAAAUCCCUCGAGGUGGAUCCUGCGACAUUGGAACCCUACCGAUUGCCGGAGAAAGUUUCAUGCUGGUUCAGGUGGGCAAAGUGUGUCAAGGUUUUGCUCUUUCUCACACAACAUUGAAUUAUCUCAAACUCAUAGCAGGGUACUUUAUUCGCCACUUUAUUCACCUCAUAACCAUUAGUGUUCAUCCAAAAAAUAAAAAAAAUAGG